rnacentral:rRNA from 1 species
ACGUAGGAUGCGAGCGUUAUCCGGAUUUAUUGGGUUUAAAGGGUGCGUAGGUGGACUGUUUAGUCAGUGGUGAAAUGCUGAUGCUCAACGUUAGCAUUGCCGUUGAAACUGACAGUCUUGAGAGUGAUUGAGGCAGGCGGAAUGUGUGGUGGAGCGGUGAAAACCAUAGAUAUCAGAAAGAACACAAUUGGCGAGGGCAGCUCGCAAAGCCACAACUGACUCUGAAGCGCGAAAGCGUGGGGAUCAAACAG